GGCGCUGUAGUGUAGUGGUUAUCACUCGAGAUUUUGACACGUUCUUGACUUCUCGAAACCCAGGUUCGAACCCUGGCAGAGCCU